UACAGAGGGGGCAAGCGUUAUUCGGAAUUAUUGGGCGUAAAGGGCGCGUAGGCGGCUUGGCAAGUGGAUGGUGAAAUCCCUCGGCUUAACCGAGGAACUGCCGUCCAAACUGCUUCGCUUGAGACCGGGAGAGGUGAGUGGAAUUCCCAGUGUAGCGGUGAAAUGCGUAGAUAUUGGGAGGAACACCUGCGGCGAAGGCGGGUUGCUGGGCCGACACUGACGCUGAGGCGCGAAAGCUAGGGGAGCGAACGGG
rnacentral:rRNA from 1 species